CAGCAGUAGGGAAUAUUGCUCAAUGGGGGAAACCCUGAAGCAGCAACGCCGCGUGGAGGAUGAAGGUUUUAGGAUUGUAAACUCCUUUUGUUAGAGAAGAUAAUGACGGUAUCUAACGAAUAAGCACCGGCUAACUCCGUGCCAGCAGCCGCGGUAAUACGGAGGGUGCAAGCGUUACUCGGAAUCACUGGGCGUAAAGAGCGCGUAGGCGGGAUAGUCAGUCAGGUGUGAAAUCCUAUGGCUUAACCAUAGAACUGCAUUUGAAACUACUAUUCUAGAGUGUGGGAGAGGUAGGUGGAAUUCUUGGUGUAGGGGUAAAAUCCGUAGAGAUCAAGAGGAAUACUCAUUGCGAAGGCGACCUGCUGGAACAUUACUGACGCUGAUUGUGCGAAAGCGUGGGGAGCAAACAGGAUUAGA
rnacentral:rRNA from 1 species